rnacentral:tRNA from 1 species
UCCUAAGUAGCUCAGUGGUUAGAGCGAAUGGCUGUUAACCAUUUGGUCGCUGGUUCAAAUCCGGCUUUAGGAA